rnacentral:rRNA from 1 species
AUGGAACACUUUGAAAGUCCUGUGGAGAAAAACAAUGAAGUUCCUACUAGGAGCAAGAGACAGAGGACUGCAAAGUCCUUUGGUGAUGAUUUUCUUGUGUAUCUCAUAGAUGACACUCCCAGUUCUAUUUCGGAGGCCAAUGUAUCGGAAGAUGCUGACUACUGGAAGGAAGCGGUUCGUAGCGAGAUGGAUUCCAUCUUGGCGAAUGAAACUUGGGAGAUAACUGAUCGUCCUUAUGGGUGCAAACCUAUAGGAUGCAAAUGGGUAUUCAAGAAGAAGCUUAGGCCUGAUGGUACUAUUGAAAAGUACAAGGCUCGGCUCGUGGCAAAGGGUUAUACCCAAAAGGAAGGUGAAGACUUCUUUGAUACUUACUCACCUGUGGCUCGACUGACCACUAUUCGAGUUCUACUUUCACUAGCUGCCUCACAUGGUCUUCUCGUUCAUGAAAUGGAUGUUAAGACUGCUUUCCUGAAUGGAGAGUUGGAUGAGGAAAUUUAUAUGGAACAACCAGAUGGGUUUGUAAUAGAUGGUCAGGAAGGGAAAGUGUGCAAAUUGCUGAAGUCUUUGUACGGACUCAAGCAAGCACCCAAACAGUGGCAUGAGAAGUUCGAAAGAACUUUAACAGCUGCAGGCUUUGUUGUGAACGAAGCUGACAAAUGUGUGUACUAUCGCCAUGGUGGGGGCGAGGGAGUUAUGCUUUGCUUGUAUGUUGAUGACAUACUGAUUUUCGGAACAAAUCUGAAUGUUAUUAAGGAGGUCAAGGAUUUAGGAGUGGCUGAGGUCAUUCUGAACAUCAAGUUGUUGAGAGAUGAUGAUGGUGGGAUUACAUUGCUUCAGUCUCACUAUGUGGAAAAGAUCUUGAGUCGCUUUGGCUAUAGUGACUGCAAGCCCUCUCCAACACCAUAUGAUGCUAGCGUGCUGCUUCGAAAGAAUCAAAGAAUUGCUAGAGAUCAAUUGAAGUAUUCUCAGAUUAUUGGCUCGCUUAUGUACUUAGGCAGUGCUACAAGACCUGACAUCUCUUUUGCUGUUAGCAAGCUGAGCCGGUUUGUCUCAAAACCGGGAGAUGUGCAUAGGAAAGCUCUAGAGAGAGUUUUGCGUUAUUUGAAAGGCACUGUAAAUUAUGGAAUUCACUACACUGGGCAUCCAAAGGUGCGCCACGAGUGGAUAUGUGUUCACUCAUGGAGGUGGCGCUGUUUCUUGGAAGUCUUGCAAGCAGACCAUCUUAACGAGGUCAACUAUGGAAGCAGAACUCACAGCACUAGAUACAGCUACGGUUGA